UCACCUGCCGAAGCAACUAGCCCUGAAAAUGGAUGGCGCUCUAGCGUCGUGCCUAUACCGGGCCGUCAACGGCAAAGCGGGCCGGUGCCCCGUCGGCCCCAGGCCGGCGGGCUCGGCCGUUAAGCCUUGACGAGUAGGAGGCGCGCGGCGGUGUGCGCAGAAGGGUCCGGGCGCGAGCCUGCCUGGAGCCGCCGUCGGUGCAGAUCUUGGUGGUAGUAGCAAAUACUCUAGCGAGGGCCUGGAGGGCUGAUGUGGAGAAGGGUUUCUUGUGAACAGCCGUUGCACAAGAGUCAGUCGACCCUAAGCCCUAGGAGAAAUCCGAUGUUGAUGGGCAGCGAUCACGCGGCCGGCGCCUUAAACCGGCCCCGCCGACUGCUCCCGUCGGGCGAAAGGGAAUCCGGUUCCUAUUCCGGAACCCGGCUGCGGAACCGUCACUUCGCGGGCACUCGCCUGCGAGCGCUCGUCGGGGUAACCCAAAAUGACCCGGAGACGCCGGCGGGAGGUCUGGAAAGAGUUGUCUUUUCUUUAUAAGCGUUCGAGUUCCCUGGAAUCCUAUAGCAGGGAGAUAGGGUUUGGAACGCGAAGAGCACCGCAGUUGCGGCGGUGUCCGGACCUUCCCCCCGGACCUUGAAAAUCCGGGUGAGGGCUACGCGGAAAUGUCGCGCCGGCUCGUACCCAUAUCCGCAGCAGGUCUCCAA
rnacentral:rRNA from 1 species